UCAUCAAAUUGAAAAGUACUCUCUUCUUUUUUCUCUUUUAAUGAUGGUAUUUCCAUCUUUGUCUGUUGGCUUUUCUCAGUUCCCGCAUUCCCAGAGUUCCAAGAGGAUGAAAAGAAGCCGUUGGUAAUCUUGUUUGAAAUUUGCAGUGAGUUUAGUCAUCUGUUCCCUGGGGCCCUGCUCUAUCAGGGUCAGGCUAAGAAAGAAGCUGCUUUGCUAUCAGACUCUUUUUAAGUCUUUUCAUUACCAAUUCACCAGUACGGCACAUAAUGAGCUCUCGCAGCAGCAGAUAGGGAGUUCAUGUCUCAGCCAAGUAGCCGGACUUGUAGCUGCCACAUCGUGGACCAUUACCUAUAAUUACUUCAUGGGCACUCCACAAAGAUAAUUUCCUUUGUAGGAUUAAAAAGAAAAAAAGGCAGGUCUUGAGGAAGAUUUUGUAGAAAGAGCCCAGGGCAAAGCCAGAUGAGCUGGCGUUGGUAUCUAAGUGGAGGUGUGUCUUCUUUCUGGGACAAAACCAUUUGGCUUCUGGCUUCUCCAUGAAGCCACCAUCAGGGAAGCAACUGAUAGUGACUGACAACUGGCUGGAAGCAUAAUCACGAGGCCCUAAACUCAGGGCUCCUUACUCUUUGCCAGUGUUUCUAUGCAAAUUCUCUAUCCACGAGCUUCUAUUUCAGUCCUAACAUUCCUCAGAACUUGCGUAUGAAUCAGCGAGGUGCCAGAUGCCUCAUACAAAUUCAGGGGAAAGAAAAGAACAUAGGCUCCUCCACGGAGGAGGAAAACUCAAUGAAGUCCAAAGAAAGUUCUCGCUUGAGGAAGAGGGCUCGUUUUGGAACAUUUGCCAGCGCAGCACCACGAGGUGAACAAUCCCAUUUUUGCCAACAUCUGCCUUCUGACGAAGCCCACCAGAAACACACCUGCAGGCAAGGAAAUUCAGGAUUAUUAACUUUCUGCACCAGAGGUGAUGGGACAGCAUGGGGACCGUGGAGCAUCUCCUUGUGGAUAACUCGGCGUCAGAGAAAUACAGAUCAAAACCAAAAUCUACCUCACAGCAGGUAGAACGGUUAAAAUUAACAAGUCAGGAAACAAUAGGUGUUGGUGAGGAUGCAGAGAAGGGUGUGCCCUUGUUCACUGUUGGUGGGAAUGCAAACUGGUGCAGCUACUCUGGAAAACAGUGUGGAGGUUCCUCGCGAAGUUAAAAAUAGAGCUACUACUAGGGAUUUAUCACAAACAUGGUGAUUAGAAGGAGCAUCUGCACCCCAAUGUUCACAGCAGCAAUGUCCACAAUAACCAAACUGUGGGAGGAGCCCAGAUGUCCAUCAACGGAUGAAUGGAUAAAGAUGUAGUAUAUAAAUAGACAAUGGAAUAUUACUCAGCCAUCAAAAAGAAUGAAAUCUUACCAUUUGUAAUGACACGGAUGGUAUUGCAAUGACUAGAUGGUAUUAUGCUAAGUGAAAUAAGUCAGUCAGAGAAAGACAAAUACUAUAUGAUUUCAUUCCUAUGUGGAAUUUAAGAAACAAAACACAUGAACAUAGGAGGAGAGAAGGAAAAAUAAAAUAAGACAAGAGAGGGGGGCA
rnacentral:lncRNA from 1 species